AUAGCGGGGGAUAACUAUUGGAAACGAUAGCUAAUACCGCAUAACAGUAUUUAUCACAUGGUAAAUGCUUGAAAGGAGCAAUUGCUUCACUAUGAGAUGGACCUGCGUUGUAUUAGCUAGUUGGUGGGGUAACGGCUCACCAAGGCAUCGAUACAUAGCCGACCUGAGAGGGUGAUCGGCCACACUGGGACUGAGACACGGCCCAGACUCCUACGGGAGGCAGCAGUAGGGAAUUUUCGGCAAUGGGAGGAACCCUGACCGAGCAACGCCGCGUGAGUGAAGAAGGUUUUCGGAUCGUAAAGCUCUGUUGUAAGAGAAGAACGUGUGUGAGAGUGGAAAGUUCACACAGUGACGGUAACUUACCAGAAAGGGACGGCUAACUACGUGCCAGCAGCCGCGGUAAUACGUAGGUCCCGAGCGUUGUCCGGAUUUAUUGGGCGUAAAGCGAGCGCAGGCGGUUUGAUAAGUCUGAAGUAAAAGGCUGUGGCUUAACCAUAGUA
rnacentral:rRNA from 1 species